UGGACAGUUCAGCACAGACAAAGCUUGCUGUCUGCUAACUGUGUGAACAAACUAGACAGAAUGGUAGCUGUUUGAUGAAAGGGUGUUAACUGAAGACCUGGGCCCUUCAGGAAAAGCUCUGUAAGAAUGCAGUUACCUCCUGUAGAUGAAAAAGCAGAAUACAAGGAAAGAAUUAUCAGCAUCCAAAGAUGGUGUAUUUGAGAUCUUUUCCUUCUUCCAGGAAAUUCACAAAAUUAAAUACUGGUUUAUUAAUGCACAGAGAGCAGAUAGAUCAUCGUGUUUCCGCAGUUAAUCUGUGGUAUUAACCUUGUGAAUGCCAGUGCAGAGAUAAGGAGGAAAAUGAAGUAUAUGCAGAGGAAAAGGAGUCAAGGACACUUCCCUGGUCAUCUACUGAUAGAUUUAUUCUGCCCCCAAGUGGGACCUUCAGUCACCUCUAUGACUGCUGAGGCAGCCAAUUUCUAAACUCUUUUUCAGCUUAGAAAUCCAUUAUAAGGACAGGAGAAAAAGACAAUUGUGGUGAUAGUUUUUAACGAAAAUUCGUAGAUGAUACCUUUUUUGUGAAUGGGAUUUGCUUUCUAUCUAGUAUCUUUUUAUUGUUUCUGCUAAUUGAGACACUAUGGUGAUGUUGCUGGCUGCAUGUUUCUUCCUGAGUUCAUGAAAUGAGGUAGACCCCUUUUUAUUUUAGUUGAAUGAUUUUUCUUGUCUCACCUUAGGAGUAUAAAUCUUUGUUUUUACCAGCUUUGAUUUAUAAUCACCUGUGAUGUAUGGCAGGGUUUUAUGAUAUGACUGUUUUGCAUCUUUCAGCUCCAAGCUUAAUGAGUUUAUUGGAAGUGUUUGUUAGGAAUUCUAGCCAGAGUGUCUUUGAACAUGCAUGGUCAGUGAAAUACAACUGAACAGAAUGGAACAGAAUACAAUAGGUAGCAGCACUUUUGGAAUAGUCCCACCACUUUGGGAUCUGGAGAAUGUAAAGCCUCUCCAUUGCAUUUCUGCCUUCAAUUCAGCUGAGUUGCAAAAGUGCACUGUCACUUAUUUUAAAUAGAGCUUUUCCAAUAUUCACAAGAAAACAUAAAAUACGUUGGCCAAAACUUUGGAUAGAUUUUUAUAAAAGGUGUACACAUACUAGUGCAUCACCAAUUCUUUUAAUAUGCAUGAGGUUUCAGAGGUCUUUAUUAUGAAGGGUUAUAUUUUAUUCAUUAUUGAACAAGGAACAAGGUUUACAAUUUGUGUUCAGAGUCUUCCAAAAAACACAGGAGAAUGUCUAGACACUGUGAGAAGAAGGAGUCUUGACUGAAAGCUAUUAAUUCCACUUUAAGAGCUGGCAUUUUUUUUGCUGUUAGAUUAGUGUAACUAAUAGGAGAGUGAGACAGAGGGCUUGAGGUUGUCCCAGAAACUGUUCUUUUUUGGUUUACUUUCUUUUCUUCUUAAACUUGCUUAUUUGAGUUUGAAGUUUGAAGUCUCAGUGAAGAGUCAUGGAGUUUUUGCUUCUGUAUAUGCCAGCUGUAAAACCUUUUUGAGAGGCUAAGUAUAUUAAAGAUACUGACAAAAAAAAUCCUGAUGCUUUCAUUCAAAACUAAUUACACCUUCUCAGAAAACUUUGUUACAUUCCUACCAGUAAUACUAGUUGUGAGGGGUUGGAGGUUAUGAAUACUAAGAGCUGUAACAAAUAAAAGCUGUAAAACUCAUUAUGAUAUUAAACAUGCAUGUGAAACAAAA